ensembl:snoRNA small nucleolar RNA SNORA18
GCUGAGGUCUAUCCCGACAGACCUUUACCUAUAAGGCCGCGUUGUUGGAAAUACCUCAGAGAGCAAAUCUGUAGUUUUGCUUUACCCACAUGGUCACUGCCAUGAGCACGAUGGGAUAUUACUGCAGAACACAU